UCGGAAAUUCCCUUAAUUGAUACUACUUUUGAACACUUGUAUAGAAUAGUUUAAACGAGUCUUCAUGCUUUUAUUAUUAUAAGUUAUUACUUGUCUUGAGUAUUCAAUUUGAGUGAUCAUUUUUUAUAACUUAGACGAUUUUUUAACAAAAGCUUGGAUUUGAACAGCAUUCCUAAAAAACUUUAUUAGAAUUCGACAGCAAGAAAAAUGUCGACAAAAAAUCCUCUUUCAAACCAAAAAAGGAUGAAUAGUCCAGACCCAGCAAGGUCCAGUAAAACAAAAACUAAAGAAAAAGAGACAGAAAAAUUAAAGACGGAAUCCAAAACGAGCCCGAAGAAAGGAAAGACAGCAGAUGAAAAACGGAAAAAGCAGAUGCAUCGACUGAUUUCUAUCGCCACCAAAAGUUUGGAGGAUUUGAGCAUGGACCGGGUAUCAAUCCAAAAACAGCAAAAAUGCCCACUAAACUACUGUGAUCAGCCGGGCAAAAGUUGGCUGAAUGAGUCUCAAUGUCUGCUCGAGCAAAUCCACGGCUCAAACUCCAAGCUGCACAAGAAGUGAUGAAAUUAUGCAAUUUAAUAAUGAUACUGAUA